GCGGAUCUGGUGAGGCUGGGUGCUCACGUCGGUCUUCCAAACCGAAGACGCGGGUUCGAUUCCCGCGAUCCGCUC
rnacentral:tRNA from 1 species